rnacentral:misc_RNA from 1 species
GAUGAAGAACGUAGUGAAAUGCGAUAAGUAGUGUGAAUUGCAGAAUUCAGUGAAUCAUCGAAUCUUUGAACGCACAUUGCGCCCCAUGGUAUUCCGUGGGGCAUGUCUGUUCGAGCGUCAUUUACCCCCUCAAGCUCCGCUUGGUGUUGGGCGUCUGUCCCGCUUCGCGCGCGGACUCGCCCCAAAGGUAUUGGCAGCGGUCGUGCCAGCUUCUCGCGCAGCACAUUGCGCUUCUCGAGGCACCGGUGGGCCCGCGUCCAUCAAGCUCACCCCCCCAGUUUGACCUCGGAUCAGGUAGGGAUACCCGCUGAACUUAAGCAUAUCAAUAAGCGGAGGA